rnacentral:lncRNA from 1 species
AAUGAUGGGGCAGUGUUUUCCAAUGGAAAUAGUGUUGCUGAUGUAGCUGAGGUUUUGAAAAGUUUGAGUAAUGGGGUGAAUGGAAAUUGUGUUGCUGAAGAGGCUCGAGAAUCGAUAAGUGAAGCUGUGAAUGAUAGAACGGUGGUUGCAAAUGGAAAUUGUGUUGCUGAAGAGGCUCGAGAAUCAACAAGUGAAGCUGUAAAUGAUGGGGGGGUGGUUGUGAAUGGAAGUCGUGUUGCUAAAGAGGCUCGAGAAUUGAUAAGUGAAGCUGUGAAUGAUGGGGCGGUAUUUUCGAAUGGAAAUGGUGUUAAUGAAGAGGUUGGAGUCUUGAAAAGUGAAGAUGUGAAUGAUGGGGUGGUGUUUUCGAAUGGAAAUGGGGUUGCUGAAGUGCCUGUGGUUUUAAAAAGUGAUGUUUUGAAUAAUGGGGUGAAUGGAAAUGGUGUUACUGAAGAGGCUGGAGUCUUGAAAAGUGAAGCUGUUAGCAAUGGGGUGGCAAGUUCAGGUGG